rnacentral:rRNA from 1 species
UACGUAGGGGGCUAGCGUUGUCCGGAUUUAUCGGGCGUAAAGAGCGCGUAGGCGGCCGAGUAAGUCCGACGUGAAAUCUGGAGGCUCAACCUCCAGCGGUCGUUGGAAACUACUCGGCUAGAGUCCGGAAGAGGAGAGUGGAAUUCCUGGUGUAGCGGUGAAAUGCGCAGAUAUCAGGAAGAACACCGAUGGCGAAAGCAGCUCUCUGGGACGGUACUGACGCUGAGGCGCGAAAGCGUGGGGAGCGAACAGG